AUUGAACGCUGGCGGCAGGCUUAACACAUGCAAGUCGAGCGAGCGGCGGACGGGUGAGUAAUGUCUGGGAAACUGCCUGAUGGAGGGGGAUAACUACUGGAAACGGUAGCUAAUACCGCAUACCAUCAGAUGUGCCCAGAUGGGAUUAGCUAGUGGGUGGGGUAAUGGCUCACCUGGGCGACGAUCCCUAGCUGGUCUGAGAGGAUGACAGGACAAACUGGAACUGAGAAAAGGUCCUGACUCCUACGGGAGGCAGCAGUGGGGAAUGUUGCACAAUGGUAGCAAGCCUGAUGCAGCCAUGCCGCGUGAGUGAAGAAGGCCUUCGGGUUGUAAAGCACUUUCAGCGAGGAGGCGUUACUCGCAGAAGAAGCACCGGCUAACUCCGUGCCAGCCGCCGCGGUAAUAC
rnacentral:rRNA from 1 species